UCCUUCCAGGCUGUGGUUGCGGGGGCUGUUGGGCGGCGCGCCCAGGCUCCUUAGUCCAGGACAGACGCGGUCAAAGGGAUCCACGUAAGCCAAUGCGUGCGCGCAGAGGCGAUCAUGGCGCGUCCUAGAGGUCAGUCGCACCGUCCGUCUUAUUCUUUUGAGGCAAUAGGUGUCUCGCGGGCGAGCGGGUUAGUCGUGAAGUCACUGCGGUGGCCGAGCAAACGCCCCGGUGCGCAGGUGUGGGGUCAAAAACCAGGUCAGCUGGAGGGA
rnacentral:ncRNA from 1 species